CCUAAGGUAGCGAAAUUCCUUGUCGGGUAAGUUCCGACCUGCACGAAUGGCGUAAUGAUGGCCAGGCUGUCUCCACCCGAGACUCAGUGAAAUUGAACUCGCUGUGAAGAUGCAGUGUACCCGCGGCAAGACGGAAAGACCCCGUGAACCUUUACUAUAGCUUGACACUGAACAUUGAGCCUUGAUGUGUAGGAUAGGUGGGAGGCUUUGAAGUGUGGACGCCAGUCUGCAUGGAGCCAACCUUGAAAUACCACCCUUUAAUGUUUGAUGUUCUAACUCGGCCCCAUAAUCUGGGGUGAGGACAGUGUCUGGUGGGUAGUUUGACUGGGGCGGUCUCCUCCCAAAGAGUAACGGAGGAGCACGAAGGUUAGCUAAUCACGGUCGGACAUCGUGAGGUUAGUGCAAAGGCAUAAGCUAGCUUGACUGCGAGAGUGACGGCUCGAGCAGGUACGAAAGUAGGUCUUAGUGAUCCGGUGGUUCUGAAUGGAAGGGCCAUCGCUCAACGGAUAAAAGGUACUCCGGGGAUAACAGGCUGAUACCGCCCAAGAGUUCAUAUCGACGGCGGUGUUUGGCACCUCGAUGUCGGCUCAUCACAUCCUGGGGCUGAAGUAGGUCCCAAGGGUAUGGCUGUUCGCCAUUUAAAGUGGUACGCGAGCUGGGUUUAGAACGUCGUGAGACAGUUCGGUCCCUAUCUGCCGUGGGCGUUGGAAGAUUGAGAGGGGUUGCUCCUAGUACGAGAGGACCGGAGUGAACGCACCACUGGUGUUCGGGUUGUCAUGCCAAUGGCACUGCCCGGUAGCUAAGUGCGGAAAAGAUAAGCGCUGAAAGCAUCUAAGCGCGAAACUUGCCUCGAGAUGAGUCUUCCCUGGGCCUUUAAGGUCCCUGAAGGAACGUUUAAGACUAAGACGUUGAUAGGCUGGGUGUGUAAGUGCAGCGAUGCAUUGAGCUAACCAGUACUAAUGAUCCGUGAGGCUUAACCUU
rnacentral:rRNA from 1 species